rnacentral:rRNA from 1 species
GUGCCAGCCGCCGCGGUAAUACCGGCAGCCCGAGUGAUGGCCGAUCUUAUUGGGCCUAAAGCGUCCGUAGCUGGCUGCGCAAGUCCGUCGGGAAAUCCACUCGCUCAACGGGUGGGCGCCCGGUGGAAACUGUGCGGCUUGGGACCGGAAGGCGCGACGGGUACGUCCGGGGUAGGAGUGAAAUCCCGUAAUCCUGGACGGACCGCCGAUGGCGAAAGCACGUCGCGAGAACGGAUCCGACAGUGAGGGACGAAAGCCAGGGUCUCGAACCGGAUUAGAAACCCCGGUAGUCC